rnacentral:lncRNA from 1 species
AGACCGCCACGGUGACUUGCAAGCAACUCACUGCACUUAGGCACUGAACUACCUGAAUUUUUAAUUCAGUGACGGAAGGCUGCUGAGUGUAGUCAAGUACUUGACUUGUCGGUGCGUGUGUCAAGAUGGGAUUGACCACUCCAGUUUAGGAGCUGUGUACAGACGUGUUUCAAUUUAGCAAAACUUUGGCCAGGGUAAUCUUUGUGAGGAGUCACAGGACUGUUUGAGUUGAGCACGAUUCGGAUGAUCUGAUCAGGGUUGACAAUUUAACCCUGAGUCAUCCUAAACACAGAGGUCAAAAGGAUGAAUUAUACAGUAACCAUAUUCACAUAGGUUCUGAGUAU